GCACCUCCCACAUAGUAUGGGAUCUACCCUUCAAUGUCCUGGUUGCCUGUUAUGCUAUCCCUGGAUCUUGCCCUGGUGUAUAUGAACGGCCUGUUCUCUGGAGGAGCCAACACUCAAGUAUGUGCUCUCUCUGGUCCUUGCCAGAGCUAUGAUUGCUGGAAAGGGAAGCAGGCCCGAGGACCAGGGUCUCACACUAUGCAGCUGAAGUUGGCCGACAACUCCUGAUCCUCUGGCGUGCUAGGAUCAUUGGCAAGACUCCCUUGACGAACCAACCUCUUCCAGGAUGCUACGGAAUUUUCUGUAAACAGCGCCACCUCCCUGGCCUUCAGCCUGGGAGCUCUCAUGCCCAUCUAACUCCAGGUUUUGAUGCCCGGCACACCUCUAUGCUCACUACUGGGUCUGUGCAACUGGUGAAGGGUUUGAAGUAAUCCUUUGCAGUCCUCGUGAUUCUGCUCUUGAGAUUCAAGGAGUCAGGAGAACGGUAGAGUUAAAAUCAACCAGAGGGCUAUAGGUUAUGGGAACUUUGGGGGUCCAGGAAUGGGAAGAUCUGUGUUGUUCAUCUCACUAGGGGAUGCAUGCUCUUCCUCCCCAUCACUGGGGAAGGCAACACUGCUUCUCUCCAGCACCAUGUCUGCCUGCUGCCAUGCUCCCUGCCAUGAUGAUAAUGGACUAAGCACCUGAAAUGACUGGACUCAAUGCUGAACCAUUCUGACCUCAAGAGAAUGCCGUACAAGGAAUUUGUUAUCUUCGGUUAACAGCAGAGCAGUAGACUCAGCGUCUGGGGAAAGUUUUACUGAUCUUCGUUGCUCCUGAUACAUAAAUAUCUUCACCUCCCCAAGAUCUAAAAGGCUUCAGUCUGCUCUAUCCCAGGUUGUUGGCAUCUUCAAUAAAUUCUUUGGUCCCCAA